rnacentral:sRNA from 1 species
GCACCCUUACAUUAUUAAAAAAAAAAAUACAACGUGUGAGAUAAAUAAUACGUUCACAAGGCUAUCUUAAGUGGUCUGCAGGAGUUCUGAUGCCCCUGUACUUACUAACAGAAAGUAACUCAUUGUAGAUUACUCGCGCUUAAAAAUGUUAAAUACAGUUAAUGCAAUAUUAAUCGCCCUUUGGUGAUAUAAAAUGCAAUAUUUUCAGGCAGCUAUUGAGCUUUUCCAGAGGAAGGGCGAUGAGAAGAGUCGCAGCUGAAUAGUGGGAGAAAAAGCCUGGUAUUUAUUGCUUUUGUUUGGCUUUUGGCUACAGAGACAGGAACCUUCUAAUGGGGAGACAAAUUUGGUUGGUAGGCCAAAGAGCUCACAAGGACCAACACCCCUCCCCCCUUCGAGGGUCAGGAAUCAGCUUGAAGCACAAGGAUCUUCAUUUACUAGGUUCAGUGAAGGUCUCUGCAGAGCAACCCAGGGAAGACCCUAUGACAAGGAAAAUGUAGCAAACCGAUAGGAAGAACAUGGAGUUAAAUGAGAAGGAGAUACAGAGACCUACAACGGACAUGAUGCAUAGUGAGAUACCUUGGAACACUCAGCCCUAAGAGGGAUGACUCCAUUCAUCCUUCUCCUCACGGCUCAGGGAACCUGUGGAAGAGGGGCAGAAAGAGCCAGAGACGACAGAGGACACUGAGAAAGCAAGACCCUAUAAAUCAACAUGAGUAAAGCUCACAUAACUUACAAAGACUGGAGCAGUGCGCACAGGGCUUGUGGUAGUCUGCACCAGGUCCGUGGCACAUAAUGAUGCUUGUUUGUUUGUCUUGCCCAACUCUGUUAGUUUCUUUUUUUAUUUAACUAGUACGAUUAUAGUACAUCAUUAUACUUAUUACCCCUUAGAAGCCUGUUUGUUUUCUAGUGAGAGACCGAAAGGUAGAGGAUGAAGAUGAGAGGAGAGGUGGAGAGAGACUUGGAGGAGUAGAGGGGAGGGAAGCCAUAAUCAGCAUAUUCUAGAUGAGAAAAUAAAUCCAUUUUCAAUGAAAGAAAAAAAUAUGGAAAUUCCCUCCUGUGAUGGUUUGCCUAUGCUUGGCCCAGGGAGUGGCACUGU